rnacentral:rRNA from 1 species
UACGGAGGGGGCUAGCGUUGUUCGGAAUUACUGGGCGUAAAGCGCACGUAGGUGGCUUUGUAAGUUAGAGGUGAAAGCCCGGGGCUCAACUCCGGAAUUGCCUUUAAGACUGCAUCGCUAGAACGUCGGAGAGGUAAGUGGAAUUCCGAGUGUAGAGGUGAAAUUCGUAGAUAUUCGGAAGAACACCAGUGGCGAAGGCGACUUACUGGACGACUGUUGACACUGAGGUGCGAAAGCGUGGGGAGCAAACGGG